GGGAUAUAGCUCAGUGGUACAGCACUUGCCUAGCAUGUUCAAGGGCCUGGGUUCAAUCCCCAGACUGCUUCA
rnacentral:tRNA from 1 species